rnacentral:rRNA from 1 species
UACGUAGGUCCCGAGCGUUGUCCGGAUUUAUUGGGCGUAAAGCGAGCGCAGGCGGUUGGAUAAGUCUGAAGUUAAAGGCUGUGACUCAACCAUAGUAUGCUUUGGAAACUGUUCAACUUGAGUGCAGAAGGGGAGAGUGGAAUUCCAUGUGUAGCGGUGGAAUGCGUAGAUAUAUGGAGGAACACCGGUGGCGAAAGCGGCUCUCUGGUCUGUAACUGACGCUGAGGCUCGAAAGCGUGGGUAGCGAACAGG